GACGAGGGGUCCUAGCGUUGUUCGGAAUUACUGGGCGUAAAGCGCACGUAGGCGGACAUUUAAGUCAGGGGUGAAAUCCCAGAGCUCAACUCCAGAACUGCCUUCGAUACUGGCGAUCUUGAGUCCGGGAGAGGUGAGUGGAACUCCGAGUGUAGAGGUGAAAUUCGUAGAUAUUCGGAAGAACACCAGUGGCGAAGGCGGCUCACUGGCCCGGUACUGACGCUGAGGUGCGAAAGCGUGGGGAGCAAACAGG
rnacentral:rRNA from 1 species